AGAGACAGCAGUAGCCACGGUAAUACAGAGGGUGCAAGCGUUAAUCGGAAUUACUGGGCGUAAAGCGCGCGUAGGUGGUUUGUUAAGUUGGAUGUGAAAGCCCCGGGCUCAACCUGGGAACUGCAUCCAAAACUGGCAAGCUAGAGUACGGUAGAGGGUGGUGGAAUUUCCUGUGUAGCGGUGAAAUGCGUAGAUAUAGGAAGGAACACCAGUGGCGAAGGCGACCACCUGGACUGAUACUGACACUGAGGUGCGAAAGCGUGGGGAGCAAACAGGAUUAGAUACCCCUGUAGUCCCUGUCUCUUAUAA
rnacentral:rRNA from 1 species